rnacentral:piRNA from 1 species
UCAACGUCUCCCCUCAGCCCAGUGCCA